rnacentral:misc_RNA from 1 species
CCGAGUUGACAAACUCCCUAAACCCUGUGAACAGUACCUAACUUGUUGCCUCGGCGGAGCAGCCCGGGUCUCCCGGGAGACCUGGGCCAUCGGGGCCCGCCAGGAGGUACCCUAAACUCUUGCUAAUAUGGACUCUCUGAGUAUACCAUGAAUAAGUCA